GCCUGCAGCCUCGGGCUGCUCACCGUCUGUUGGAUCUGCGAGCGCCGAGCACAGCGGCCAGAGCGGACCUCGCUGCCCGGGGCACCAUGAGCCGCAGCCUGGACGCGGCGCGGAGCUUCCUGCAUCAGUUGGAGGCUCGGGGCGGCCGGGAGGGGGCGGUCCUCGCCAGCGAGUUCAGAGACAUCCGGGCCCGCUCAGCCGCCUGGAAGACUGACAGUUUGUGCUCCACUGAGGCUGGCAGUUUGCCAGGGAACGUGAGGAAGAACCGCUACAAAGACGUGCUACCCUAUGAUCAGACACGAGUGAUCCUCUCCCUGCUGCAUGAGGAGGGCCACAGCGACUACAUCAAUGGCAACUUCAUCCGGGGCACAGAUGGAAGCCAGGCCUACAUUGCCACGCAAGGACCCCUGCCUCACACCUUGCUAGACUUCUGGCGCCUGGUCUGGGAGUUUGGGGUCAAGGUGAUCCUGAUGGCUUGUCGAGAGAUGGAGAAUGGACGGAAAAAGUGUGAGCGUUACUGGGCCCAAGAACAGGAACCACUACAGAUUGGGCUUUUCUACAUCACUCUGACAAGAGAGACAUGGAUGAAUGCAGACAUAAUUCUCAGGACCCUCCAUGUCACCUUUCAGAAGGAAUCCCGUUCUGUGUACCAGCUGCAGUAUAUGUCCUGGCCAGACAGAGGGGUCCCCAGCAGUCCUGACCAUUUGCUUGCCAUGGUGGAGGAAGCCCAUCGCCUCCAGGGCUCUCGCCCCAGCCCCCUCUGUGUCCACUGCAGCGCUGGUUGUGGGCGGACAGGUGUCCUGUGCACUGUGGAUUAUGUGAGGCAGUUGCUCCUGACCCAGAUGAUCCCACCCAACUUCAGCCUCUUUGAUGUGGUCCUUGAGAUGCGCAGGCAGCGGCCUGCGGCUGUGCAGACAGAGGAGCAGUACAGGUUCCUGUACCAGACUGUGGCUCAGAUGUUUUGCUCAGCACUGCAAAACACAGGUCCCCAGUACCAGAACCUCAAAGAGAAUUGUGCCCCACUCUACGAUGAUGCCUUGUCCCUCGGGAUUUCUCAGGCCCUUCCUGUCAUACUUCGAGCACCAGGCAGCGUCCUCAGAAACGACCACCCCUCAAUACCGAUGCCCUGCCCAUUCACCUGCCAAGUCGACCCCUCCCCUCCUUCAUCUACCGGACUUGCGGCCGCUGGGGACACAGAAACGAGAGCCCCUCACCCCCAGCCGCCUGCCGCCCCUCCAGAGCGGCGCGCCGCCGGGGCGGAGAGGAAGCCUGCGGUUUGCGCUCUCCCCCCGCCCCCCGGCCGCCGCUUCACUUCCUCCCCGCCCUCCGCACCCGCAGGAGCAUCUCUGUGCCCGCGCCCCCGGCCCGCGCCAUGGCCGACACGUACGCGGCCGUGCAGAAGCGCGGGGUCCCCAGCGCGGGCGCGGACGGAGCGCCGCUCUACAGCCAGGUGACCCCGCGCGGGCGCCGACCCCAGGCUCCCGCGGACGACGCGCGCCGGUCCCAGGCUCCCGCGGACGACGCGCGGCGGACACCUCCCGGCUUUGUUCCGGUUGACCAGAGGCCAGCCGGGCCCGGCGCCUAUGAGGAUGUGGUGGACGGAGCUCAGAGCAGUGGGCUAG